GACGAACGCUGGCGGCGUGCCUAAUACAUGCAAGUCGAGCGAAGCGGCGGUUGUGUGAGUAACGCGUUGGUAACCUGCCCUUAAGUCUGGGAUACCAUUUUGCAAAAGAUGCUAAUACCGGAUACUAAAGGAUGGACCUGCUAUGCAUUAGCUAGUUGGUAAGGUAACGGCUGACAAAGGCGAUGAUGCAUAGCCGAGUUGAGAGACUGAUCGGCCACAUUGGGACUGAGACACGGCCCAAACUCCUACGGGAGGCAGCAGUAGGGAAUCUUCCACAAUGGACGAAAGUCUGAUGGAGCAACGCCGCGUGAGUGAAGAAGGUUUUCGGAUCGUAAAGCUCUGUUGUUGGUGAAGCGGUAAUCAACCAGAAAGUCACGGCUAACUACGUGCCAGCCGCCGCGGUAAUAC
rnacentral:rRNA from 1 species